CUGCCCUUGGGUCCGGCAUAACCCCGGGAAACUGGGGAUAAUUCCGGAUAACGCAUAUAUGCUGGAAUGCUUUAUGCGUCAAAUGGAUUCGUCUGCCCAAGGAUGGGUCUGCGGCCUAUCAGGUAGUAGUGGGUGUAAUGUACCUACUAGCCGACGACGGGUACGGGUUGUGAGAGCAAGAGCCCGGAGAUGGAUUCUGAGACAUGAAUCCAGGCCCUACGGGGCGCAGCAGGCGCGAAAACUUUACAAUGCGGGAAACCGUGAUAAGGGGACACCGAGUGCCAGCAUCAUAUGCUGGCUGUCCGGGUGUGUAAAAUACACCCGUUAGCAAGGGCCGGGCAAGACCGGUGCCAGCCGCCGCGGUAACACCGGCGGCCCGAGUGGUGAUCGUGAUUAUUGGGUCUAAAGGGUCCGUAGCCGGUUUGGUCAGUCCUCCGGGAAAUCUGACGGCUUAACCGUUAGGCUUUCGGAGGAUACUGCCAGGCUUGGAACCGGGAGAGGUAAGAGGUACUACAGGGGUAGGAGUGAAAUCUUGUAAUCCCUGUGGGACCACCUGUGGCGAAGGCGUCUUACCAGAACGGGUUCGACGGUGAGGGACGAAAGCUGGGGGCACGAACCGGAUUAGAUACCC
rnacentral:rRNA from 1 species